UGUUGUUAUUGACUUUGCAUAAUGGCGUACGUUUGGAGACGUAUCAUUAAUAAUUGUGUUUUAUUUCCAUUUUCGCGUUUACGUAAAAGCCAUCAGGUGAAAACGAACGUGAAUUUGGCUUCUGUUUAUUCCGAAGGUGCCGUAGGAAUAAUUGCAAACAUGCAAUGCGAUGCGUUUAAUGCAGCAAUAAGUGUAUAAUUUAUUGCAAGUCACCAACGAGAAAUUAAAAAUGGCCGAUAAACUGUAUAGCCCAGAAAAAAUAAAAUAAAGUAGGCAGUUCUUUCUCGGCUGUUCAACGUUGGACUUACUGUCUUCUGCAGUUUUUGCUGUUGUCGUGAAAUGCCUUUCUUAGGGGACGAUGGGGAUCUCCAAUUCAUUUAGGGUGCCUAAUUGGUUAAAUCAAAAAGGAGGAGGACAAUCAACAAGAAGGAUACACAUAGGAAUACAUCUCGUUCUGCCUCUGCUAAACGAUCUUUCCAUUAGCAGUUGAACCUACAGAGACAGCGUAAUUUCUUCUGAAGUUUUAAGGUGUCUAGAGGUCUCAUCUUGGAGGAACAUUAGAAGCACUCCAGUUGUCAUUAAAUAAUGGAGCAUAGGUUGUGUCAGUCCUCCAUUGCUUUAGAAGGCAGUUGUACCUAUGGCCCUGAAGAGAGUAUGAAAAUGCAAUUUCUUCAUUAGGAAUGGAGGCACUGUGCUGUUGUUGCAGAAAGGAUUUACAACAAUGAACUGAUUGCCCAUUAAAUGAGAAGGAAUUGCAGUUAAUUUUGGUGCUACUGAAACAACCAAUUCUUUUGAUAUCUUCACCUUGCAACAUUUUGCAGUUAAUUUUGGCCCUGAGAAUAGGAUGCAAUUGAAAUUAUUUAGAAGUUACUGAAAGGACAAAUUGUCAGCUGUGACAUCUCUUCCAGAUUUUGUUUGGUCUUCGUACUAGUAGAUUUUAGAACGCUACUUUCUACAGUUAAUUAAGAUUGUUCAACAAGUGAGAGGGAGUUGAAGUUUAUUUUGGUCGUACUGAAACAACCAUUGUCUACAUGGGUGUGGUCUUUGGUGAACUAUAUUCUUUGAUUUGCGCUGAAAUAAGGAAUUUUCUGCUUUGGCAUUAUUCCUGGAUUUGGUUUGCUUUUCACAUCUGCAAACUAUGGAACAUUACAGUUAAUUAAGGUGAGAGAAUACUUGAUAUAA
rnacentral:lncRNA from 1 species